ACGCUCGACACCUACGGGAGGAGCAGUGGGGAAUAUUGCACAAUGGGGGAAACCCUGAUGCAGCGAUGCCGCGUGAAGGAAGAAGUAUCUCGGUAUGUAAACUUCUAUCAGCAGGGAAGAAAAUGACGGUACCUGACUAAGAAGCCCCGGCUAACUACGUGCCAGCAGCCGCGGUAAUCUGAGCGGGCUGGCAAGGC
rnacentral:rRNA from 1 species